rnacentral:tRNA from 1 species
GUAAAUAUAGCUUAAUCACAAAGCAUUAGAUUGUGGAUCUAAAGUUAGAGCUUUAACAUCUCUUAUUUACC